GCUCCAUCGUACAUGUCCUUGAUUACUCUGAUGUAGGAUUCCGGCAUGCUCUUCGCCUCCAAGCACCUCCAUAGCACCUCCCUUGGGACCUUGUCAUACGCCUUCUCCAAGUCGAUAAGCACCAAUGUGCAGGUCCUUCUUCUUAUCCCUGAACUGCUCCACCAGCCUCCUGACAAGGUGGAUAGCUUCUGUAGUGGAGUGCCCCGGCAUGAAACCGAACUGGUUCACAGAUAUAGAUAUCAUCUCCCUCACCC
rnacentral:lncRNA from 1 species